GCUCGUGUAGCUCAGUUGGUUAGAGCAUCAGUCUUAUGAGCUGAGGGUCUGCGGUUCAAGUCCGCACUAGAGCA
rnacentral:tRNA from 1 species